rnacentral:rRNA from 1 species
AGCGAACGUUUGCGGCGGGCUUAACACAUGCAAGUCGAACGGGCUGUUCCUUCGGGGGCAGUCAGUGGCGCACGGGUGCGUAACACGUAGGUAAUCAACCCUCUGGUUGGGGAUAACACUUCGAAAGGAGUGCUAAUACCCGGUAUGGCGCAGCGGUCUUCGGAUCGCGGCGAGAAAGACCCGCAAGGGUUGCCAGAGGACGAGCCUGCGGCCCAUCAGCUAGUUGGCGAGGUAACGGCUCACCAAGGCGAAGACGGGUAGCUGGUCUGAGAGGAUGAUCAGCCACACUGGAACUGAGACACGGUCCAGACUCCUACGGGAGGCAGCAGUGGGGAAUAUUGCGCAAUGGGCGAAAGCCUGACGCAGCCACGCCGCGUGAGCGAUGAAGGCCUU